GCGUUGGCAAACCAAACCAAAAUAGCUUUUGAGAUGGAGAGCCUAGUUCAGCAAGGAGACCUGCCUGUACAUCAAUUCACACUCCUUGGCCCUCAAUUUCAAAAUGGUAGCGAAGAGGCAAGGGUUAAUGGCCAUAGAUGAUAGAUCCAAAACCCAAAAGCAUGAUGGGCUGAGCUGCAACGAGCUAGACCCAUGAGCUGAGCUAAUCAAACCAGACUCAGGUGGAUCCAUGGGUUAGCCCAGUGAACUAGACCUUAAAGGCAAAGCCAAGAGGAACUAGCUCCAAGUUAAAUCGGCUACUCCAUGCAAUGCCAAGUGACAGCUAGCACUAUGAAGUCUGAACCAAACCCAGUUGCACCUGAGGAGGGUAUUGGAAUAUGGCUUGUGGAAAAAAGUCUGAUAUCGAUAAUGUACAAGAAAAUUACAUAAUAUGUAAGUGUUGACAAAUCAGAUCAAUGGGGUCUAGUGAUGGAGAGCCUAGUUCAGAUGGAGACCUGCUUAUUUAUUAAUCCACACUCCUUGG
rnacentral:misc_RNA from 1 species